rnacentral:ncRNA from 1 species
UUUUUUUUUAUGUCGACGAAAUUCCAAGGUGGUAAUCACAGUGAUGAGCGGGGCUGAGCGAGCUCAUAUAAUUUAAUUAAAUUAAAUUGUCUUUUGUUUAAGUGUAAGUUAAAGGUAGAUCUGUGUAUGUCAAAAGGGAAACAGCCCAGAACAAAAGUUAAGGUUCCAAAAUUAUUGUUAAGUGAAAUUAAGAAGGUUUUUAUUUGAGUCGACAAGGAGAUGGGCUUAGAAGCAGCCAUAAUUUAAAGACCUCGUAACAGAGCGCUCGUUAAAUCUUUAAAAGCAUCGAAAAUUUAACGGAUCUAAACAAUAUACCGAAACUUUGUCCUCAUUUAAACAUAAUUAUUAUUAUUGUUAUUUGCAGGGGUAGCAGAACGUUGGGUUAUAUUAGAUUUGGUAUUUUUAAAAUUCAAAUAAAAAAAAACUCAAGUGAUAAUGGUGACAUGAGUAACGAAAAAGAUCCGUUACAAGUAGUAUUCCAACAAACUAAAGAGAUGAGGAAAACGUGUAUACGGAACUCGCCUAAAGCUUAUGGCUGAGGAAAAGCGGCCUCUAAGUUUUUAACCUUAAGGUUAAAACGAUGAGAAAAUAGACUGACUACAUCGCUAACAUUUUAGUUUCAGUGCUGCUUCUGACCGUGAGGUAAGAAGGUCCAUUGAAAGUAAGUGCAAAAUGUGCUGGAAAAUGUGUAGUCUAAUCUUGUUUAUAACAACAAACUUAAAAGAUGAGUUAUAAAUAAGAUAAUAAACCGUACCUAAAGACUGCCGCACAAGUAAGCUAGUAGAGAAUACGAAGGCGUAAGAGAUAACAAUCAUAAAGGAACUCGGCAAAUUGAUACCAAAACUUCGGGAAAAGGUAGGCUCAUUAGUCUUGGUUAAUACAAGUAAAAAGGAAGAAGCAUAAAAGGAUGUUGUACGACUGUUUAAUUAAAACACAGCACUUUGCAAAAAGAUGAUAAAUCUAAGUAUUGAGUGUGAUACCUGCCCGGUGCCGGCUGGUUAACGGAAAUAACUAAAUUUUCAUAGAUUUGGUGUAGAAGGAAACCCCGGUUAAUGGCGGCCUUAUAAGUGAGGGUUCGAGAGGGCCCUCGAUAAAUUCAGCUAUAUGCUGGAACGGAUUAGCGAAUUCCUUUAAAAGGCUUCGUCUAAAUU